rnacentral:rRNA from 1 species
UAAGCAUAUCAAUAAGCGGAGGAAAAGAAACCAACCGGGAUUGCCUCAGUAACGGCGAGUGAAGCGGCAAGAGCUCAAAUUUGAAAGCUGGCCCCUUCGGGGUCCGCGUUGUAAUUUGCAGAGGAUGCUUCGGGUGCGGCCCCUGUCUAAGUGCCCUGGAACGGGCCGUCAGAGAGGGUGAGAAUCCCGUCUUGGGCAGGGUGCCCGUGCCCGUGUGAAGCUCCUUCGACGAGUCGAGUUGUUUGGGAAUGCAGCUCUAAAUGGGUGGUAAAUUUCAUCUAAAGCUAAAUACCGGCCGGAGACCGAUAGCGCACAAGUAGAGUGAUCGAAAGAUGAAAAGCACUUUGAAAAGAGAGUUAAACAGCACGUGAAAUUGUUGAAAGGGAAGCGCUUGCGACCAGACUCGGCCCCGGGGUUCAGCCAGCACUCGUGCUGGUGUACUUCCCCGGGGGCGGGCCAGCGUCGGUUUGGGCGGCCGGUCAAAGGCCCCAGGAAUGUAUCGCCCUCCGGGGUUGUCUUAUAGCCUGGGGUGCAAUGCGGCCAGCCCGGACCGAGGAACGCGCUUCGGCACGGACGCUGGCGUAAUGGUCGCAAACGACCCGUCUUGAAACACGGACCAAGGAGUCUAACAUCUACGCGAGUGUUCGGGUGUCAAACCCGUACGCGCAGUGAAAGCGAACGGAGGUGGGAGCCCCCCCGGGGCGCACCAUCGACCGAUCCUGAUGUCUUCGGAUGGAUUUGAGUAAGAGCGUAGCUGUGGGGACCCGAAAGAUGGUGAACUAUGCCUGAAUAGGGCGAAGCCAGAGGAAACUCUGGUGGAGGCUCGCAGCGGUUCUGACGUGCAAAUCGAUCGUCAAAUUUGGGUAUAGGGGCGAAAGACUAAUCGAACCAUCUGGUAGCUGGUUCCUGCCGAAGUU